rnacentral:rRNA from 1 species
AACCAGCCAUGCCGCGUGCAGGAUGACGGCUCUACGAGUUGUAAACUGCUUUUGUACGAGGGUAAACGCAGAUACGUGUAUCUGUCUGAAAGUAUCGUACGAAUAAGGAUCGGCUAACUCCGUGCCAGCAGCCGCGGUAAUACGGAGGAUUCAAGCGUUAUCCGGAUUUAUUGGGUUUAAAGGGUGCGUAGGCGGUUUGAUAAGUUAGAGGUGAAAUUUCGGGGCUCAACCCUGAACGUGCCUCUAAUACUGUUGAGCUAGAGAGUAGUUGCGGUAGGCGGAAUGUAUGGUGUAGCGGUGAAAUGCUUAGAGAUCAUACAGAACACCGAUUGCGAAGGCAGCUUACCAAACUAUAUCUGACGUUGAGGCACGAAAGCGUGGGGAGCAAACAGGAUUAGAUACCCUGGUAGUCCACGCAGUAAACGAUGAUAACUCGUUGUCGGCGAUACACAGUCGGUGACUAAGCGAAAGCGAUAAGUUAUCCACCUGGGGAGUA